rnacentral:rRNA from 1 species
AUGGAGAACACAACAUCGCCACAAUCUUCUUGCAUCAGCCAGCCGGCGGCGGCGGCCAUGUCGGCCGGCGAGAGCAGCUGUGCUAUGCACUUUGCAAACUUCGUGGCAUCAACAGACAACAAACAGGAGAUGGGUCACCAAGGAGGAGAGGCCUCUGACAGUGAUUUCUCCUCUGGCUUCUCUUCCUCAUUUGAUUCCUUGGGUGAUGGCUCCGACACCGACUCCUUCCUCACGUCGGACCUCAUGGAUGAAGACGAUGAGGAUGAUUCUCUGCAGGACACUGCCUGUUCUUCCGCCGCUCGCCCUAAGGUAACCAGCAUGCAUGAUAUGCUCAUGAAGUCAAUUCUAACCAUGGAUGCAAAGGACAUGAACACCGCCCAGCUGGCCAAGUAUUUCCUCGAUGCGAGCUCAAGGAAGCAGGCGACUGGUGCGGUUCCAGAAGUGAUCAGCGGUGGAAAUAGCAACGAGAAGCAGCUGCAUGAGUUCAAUGAUCUGAGAAAGAAAGGGCUUUGCUUAGUCCCUCUCUCCAUGUUGAUAGAUUACCUAGGUUGA